GACAGAGGGUGCAAACGUUGUUCGGAAUUACUGGGCGUAAAGCGUGUGUAGGCGGUCUCAUAAGUCGGAUGUGAAAGCCCUGGGCUCAACCCAGGAAGUGCACUCGAAACUGCGAGGCUAGAGUAUCGGAGAGGUUGGUGGAAUUCUCGGUGUAGAGGUGAAAUUCGUAGAUAUCGAGAGGAACACCGGUGGCGAAGGCGGCCAACUGGACGAAUACUGACGCUGAGACACGAAAGCGUGGGGAGCAAACAGG
rnacentral:rRNA from 1 species